rnacentral:rRNA from 1 species
UGAGGAAUAUUGGUCAAUGGACGCAAGUCUGAACCAGCCAAGUAGCGUGCAGGAUGACGGCCCUAUGGGUUGUAAACUUCUUUUAUAUGGGGAUAAAGUGGUGAACGUGUUCCCUUUUGCAGGUACCAUAUGAAUAAGGACCGGCUAAUUCCGUGCCAGCAGCCGCGGUAAUACGGAAGGUUCGGGCGUUAUCCGGAUUUAUUGUGUUUAAAGGGAGCGUAGGCCGUUUGGUAAGCGUGUUGUGAAAUGUAGGAGCUCAACUUCUAGAUUGCAGCGCGAACUGUCAGACUUGAGUGCGCACAACGUAGGCGGAAUUCAUGGUGUAGCGGUGAAAUGCUUAGAUAUCAUGAAGAACUCAGAUUGCGAAGGCAGCUUACGGGAGCGCAACUGACGCUGAAGCUCGAAGGUGCGGGUAUCGAACAGG